AGUCUUUAACUAUAACCAAAAAGGUCCAAAAAGACCAAAAGACGAAGAUUAGAAUCUUUUACUGUUUCAUGCAAUGAGUUGCAGCUAUUAGGUGCUUUAUGUUUUCAUACAUUUGAGUGUUGCGCAUGAGGGAUCCCAACUCACGUGUUGUCCGUGUUGCUCGAGCAAUCUGCCUGAAGCGGGGCAAAGAGUUUUUCUGAUCAAUGAGUUGCUCGAGCCAUCUGCAAAAAACUGGAUCUCUGUUUGAAAUAAUUUGGGCUCAUUUGUUUUCAAAUGACAAACGAUAUACACUUCUCUGAAGUAUUUUUAGUUUCAAAUAAUUCGGUGUUAUCUACUUGAUAACAACUGUAUUUUGCUAUUAGAAACGUGUUAUUUUCAGUAGACUUGUAUUACUUUGUACUCUUCACCUUUGCAUUUAGUUGCCUCUAGAAGUUCUUUACCAUGAGUUUGCUAAAAUGGAAAUAGAAUGCUAAGGCCAUUGUUGACUUUA